rnacentral:lncRNA from 1 species
GUUUAGCAGCAGUGUCGAUCGUUCUGUGCCACAGUCCAACAGGACUGAGAUACCAAUGGUUAAACUAGCGAUAGAACAUACUGCUAUUGCUAAAUAGAAAUAACCAAGCACCUGCACUUUGGAGCAGGACUUGGGCUGGUCCUAGGACUUGGACUAGGAGAGGCUGGUGAAAGAAAGUUGUUUCUUCACUCAGCUGAUUCUGCUUACUGCUGAGGGUAACUUUACAGGAAGAGUGCUCUGCCUGGGCUCCUUUACCGUGGCUAUUUAAUGGCUGAAAAACUGAAAAAAGAACUAUGUUUUCUUCACAAGCUGCGACCUUCCUAAAGUAAUCAUCUAGCACAAGUUUGCCUCCUGGACUAUUCCAGAAAUUGAUCUUCCAGUAACUGAGAGAACUCAAAAAUACCCAAUGCUGAUGUGGCUUCAGUAGUCAUUGUGGUCUCUUCCUCAGAAGAAAGUCUGAAAAUAGGGGUCCCCACAGGGUUUUGUUCUGUAGUUUACAGAGGCUAUAAAUAUAUUAAUCAACCCUAAUGAUUCUCCAGAAUAUAUUCACUUCAAUACUAAUGGCUAGAUUGCCCCAUAAUGAAGAGAGAUUUUAUGAUAUUUUUGUCUAGUUCUAUUGCACUUUUAGUGGCUGGAGAGAUUCCAUUUAAGUUAAUCUCGUGUCUCUCCUUCAGGAAGCAAGGUCAUGUCCAGUAUCAGUUAAAUAUAUGGCACUACGCCUAUCAAGACUUUUGGAUCUUGCAGUUCCAGGGGCAGAUUUCAACACACGCAGUCCUUUACUAAUAUUAAAUAGCAAAAUUGCCUUAAGGAUCAUUAAAACCGUUGUGAUUUUUUUGUGCAUCUGCUGUUUGUCUCUCAGUGGAAUCUGACCUCUCCUUGCUUUGUGUGCCUUGAAGGGUAAGACUUCUUUGAUGUUCUCUCUCUGUAUUCACUCUUCAGUGCAGUCCCUACUGCUCCUGGAACAGCUGUUCCUCUGCUGCUCAAUCUCAGUUCUUUGGCUUCUUUCACCCUGUCUGUAAACAUGGCUGUAUGUUCCAAAUAAGCUUUCCAACACUCAUUCUCUGCUAGCAUUUAUCAGACCUUAUUAGUUAGUGUUAGUAUUUCCAAGUCCAGUUUGCCAAUGGUCUUUCCUAGCCAAGUGGGCUUCUUUCUAUUCACAUCCUCCUUAAAGCUGCUUUAGGACCACUGGCACUUCACAUCUCCACCGUAUCCUUCAGUGAGCCUGCAUUCCUGCUUUCUGCUUUUACCUCCUGAACCUCCUUGUUCCCUUCAGCACCUCCUCUGGCAGAUCCUCCCACUCCCUCUCCACUGUCUGUUGGCACCCUUCAGAUUUUCACCCUCGGUCCUCCUCCCUUCAUCUUUGUAGUACCUAUUUUGGCUAACUCGUCCUCCCCAUCAGUUUCUGUUACUUAUAACUCUUUUCCUCCUGUUGUGAAUUUGUUGCUUCUUUGAUAUUGCACUGCCAUCCUAAACUCUCUUUUGAUGGGGCUUUCUUAGCUAUCUCAAGUACGCUCUUUUCUCCCGCUUUAAGUUAUUGUACCAUCUUCUUGUCUUGCAGCUCUAAUGUCAGUGUUGAUUUCUCAUUCUCUCCUUAUGUCUCUAUCUACACAGUUAUUAAAUCAGAUUUUAUUCCAUAUGACAUUAGCUAGUCUAUCCGUGGCAGUUUGUCUUCAUUGCUUCAGUACUUGUCCAUUUUUGCUCUCAUUUCCAAGCAUCUUUUUGCUAUUUUCUAAAACAAAUUAGCUAUGCAUAUGUUCACUCUUUUCUAACCAUAUCUCCCUUUAAUCCAAAUCAUUUCACCUGCUUCCUCAGUCUUACUACAUAAUCCCUUUUAAUGCUUUGGAUAACCUCUCUCCCCGAACCUCUUUGAAUUUACCUACAACCUUUUUUUUUUUUUUUUUUUUUUCCCUGCCAAGGUCCUCAUUUCAUUGUCAUUUUUUUACAGGCUUCCUGCAGUCUAGAGAGGAGGUAAUUCACUUCAUUUUGGCUUUUUAUCCUAUUUCUGUCAUUAGCAAACUAAUUAAUGAUACCUAACACCAGCAUGUGUGCUGGAGAGACUACAGUAAUGAGGUGAGACUUCCAAAAUGAACUUAUGUCCCUCCAAUUCAACACUGAUUUGUCGUUCUCUGGAAGUCUCGUAUCGGUGUUCAUAAUCUGUGAUUGGCAUCCUUUUGUGUCAGCAGCCCAGCAAGGUGGAGAGCAAAAAGGAGAAAGGGAAAGAACUUUUCUGCAUUUCCUAAGAGUGGAUUGAGUUAGAUGAAGGAAUACUCUCAUCCUAUUAUGAAAAAAAUCAAGCACUCCCCUGCAGGAGACAGCUGGGAACACUAAAAUAGUGCAAUGGGAACAUGUAGACAGCAUUUUAGCCCUGAAAUAAGCAGUGUGGCAAGUGUUGUCUUUGUCUUUUUAUGUACUGUUUUAUAGGACUGUCCUUCAUUUUGUCUUACAGCAGUAAUGUUUGUGGCACUUCAACAAAAACGGCUUUUGCAGUUAUUAAAAUGCUGAGGUGUUUACUCUCAAAUUCUUUGUUGCAGCGAUUUGUUUCUCUUGGGCACCAAUCUUUACAGAGAGCGAAAGGGGCAGAACAACCUGUAGCACUGUCUGUCUCAGGAUCUUGGAGGUGCACUCUCAGAGUCACCGGCUUGCCAGAACUCUCCUGGAUUUACACACAGAAAUGCGGAGACAGAGAAAUGAAAACGAACUGUCAGCUGCUUCUGAAUCCAGAGCGCUGAAUGUUGCCGUGAGCCCAAAAUAACAAACUGUGUUUCAAGGCACAGACCCUGAAGACGAAGCACGCAUUCCUGAAAUGGUUCUGACAGCGGCGUUACGGAUAAGCUGCACGAGCUUCUUGAUCCGAUCCGGUAGCAGAACACAUGGCAUUGUUUGGAAAUCACAGACGUGUUCUAGAGAGGGUGGAGGGAAAAGAGAUGUCUGUAUCAGAGUUGGCAGUUGCACUUGUCUUUGUGGGAGAACAGGUUGCCUACAGAAUAGUGCACUUUCAAAUGGUGCAUUCAUUGAGGUCUCUGUCUUUACUGGAUGGAUGUGUAGAUGUCAGCACAGCAGAUUGGUCUCAUGGCACUGUGGUCGCUUACAUUCAUCGUUACAGCAUUUGGGGGCUGCAGCUGCCGAUACGCACAGGGUGACCUUCCUGUUUCCGAAUGCUAUUAAGUCCUAAUGGCAGGAGACCUCUGCAUCCUGAGGGAAGGAUUUAAACCACCGAAACUGCGCCGGCUGGCAGAACAGAAUUUACCAGCCCUUGGAGGAAGGCUAGAUGGAAUCUGAACAACCUCUGGGUCAGCCUGUGGCAGCAGAGGAUCCCUCCUCCCAUGGAAGAGGUGUUCGUACCGCUCAGGUGCCGCAGUGCUGCGCCGGCAGUCCCACCACAGCCCCCAGCAGAGGCACCUGGCAGGGCUGCCUCCAGCCCAGCUCAACAACACGAGCUGAACGAGCCCAAGUGCUUUCUGAAAGCACAGCUGUGCCCAGAUCGGGGCAGUUCCUGGCAUCACUAGGUGCGAUUUUUCCAUGCUCAUAGCCAGCAUAGUUACGCCUCUGAAACUUUGUAGUAGAGACCUGGCUGGAAUCCUUCAGAUCCUCGCUCUCAGCCUUGGCAAAGCAAGCCCUCUAACUCUGUUGGAGCCAAGGCAGCUCAGCUCUUCCCAUUUAACAGUCCAGACCUUGUUCUUUCAGUGACCAGAAAAGUUGUUCCUGCGGGAAUGGCUUAUCUCUCUGUUCACUGCUUCAUAUCCUGCCUAAAACACUACUAUGGGAUGUAUGGCUGCUCUACUGGAUGCCAAUAUCCAUCCUGUGCUUUUGGAAAGGCAAUUCAAAUUCUGUGCACAGGCUUCUGGCAUGCUGAAAGCUUUUGGUUGCCUGUGUCCAAAGGGCUUACUUGUACAUGUGUGCAGUGCUGGGUUAGCUGGCAGAAAAUAUCACAUUUCCAAACCCUCUGCAAGGAAUCAGUGCUGAAGUUCUGCCUCCCUGAUCUUGUAUUGAUGUUUCCUUUGCUAAUGGCAUGUUAGAACACAAGUUUUAUUUACCCAGGAUAAUAUUUCAUUUUGUCCAUGUGCUGAGGUGAUAAAGUACUUAAAUACAUUGGAUGAUCUUUUCCUAAUGCCAUUUGGUGUGUUUAUGUUGUGUUGCCAUUUUUUAGAGAUAAAAAGAGGCUGAAAGAGCACCAGAGCAUGGAAGAGAUACUUAUGAGUGUUGGGCCAUCAUCAGAGGAAAAAAGAGAGACAAAUAUGAAAAAGAAUGAGUGCUGUGUUUAGUACUUUCUUCUCAUCCUUCACACGGGCAUUUCUGGAAGAGUUCUGGUGUGAUACAGUGUGGUUAAGAUAAGCAGUGGCUGCAAAAGUGCAUAAAAAGUUAGAGAUGACCGACUGCGAUUUUUGCCCAGCCACCUCACAGUGGUGCUUCUCUUAGUGGUCCCUCAUUCAUUUGGACAAAGUAUCUUAGCACGAUAGGAUGUGAAACUUGGCCAUGAGGGGAGGUACACAGAUAAUUUGCUGGUUCUUUCAGCACUUGGAGAAGUUGAUUAUCAUCUGAGAAAGAUUCUCAAAUAUUGUUGAGUGCUGGUUCAAAUGCGACAUAUAAAUGAAGUGAGUUGGGGCUGUCUGCUGAUAUCCUCUAAAGCUACACAGCAGUGCUUCUACAAGAAGUAAGUGCCAGGCAAAGAAACCUGACUUACACAAGUGCAACGUUAUGGACGUGAAAACAAUCAAUGUCCAGAAUGAAAGGAGGCCAGAGAAAUAGUGGGACUCCCAUCACCCCUGUUCUAUUUUAAGGAAUGGUUGCUAGAUAAUGCCAUUCAUGGAGAGUGAAGAUGAAUGUUCUCCCAGUGAUACUUUACAAUAUUUUCAGUGGUAUAUUUGCUCAGCUUUGUAAAAUCCUGAUACAAGGGAACAAGUAAUAUGCAUCAAGUUUAUCGAAGCUCAUUAAUUUGAUGAAAUAUAUUGGAAGGAUUGAUUUAUUCACAAUAUUAAACAGCUACUUACGUGAAACUCUGCUUUCUGACUGGUAACGUGAGAACACACAUUGGUUGCUUGCUAUUUUGUUAAUACUUUCACAAAACCACAUCAGCCUCUUUGUUUUUCUGCUGUUUCUCACAGUUCAGCAGACAGCAACAUGCACUUAACAAAAAUAGAGAGGCUUAGAGACAUGUGCAAGAGACAGCUUCAGAAAAACUCUCAAGACAUGCUAAUCAUCUCUAAGAAGAAAAUAUGUUAUUGGCCUAGUAACCAAGGAACAGACAAAGCUUCCAGGAGAUAUGCAGACUUUAAAACAAUCUGCAGUAUAAUUCCACAUAAAUGGCACCAAAACAAUCUCCAAGGGAGUUGCUGCAUCAUUUUGUCACAGCUCAGCACAACACUUGGUCACUAAAUGAUGCAGCUCUUUGAUAUCUCAUUCCCAUUUUGGUUUGCUUAGGCAAAUCCAGAUGAUCUCUGCCCUGUGCAUCAGUGGAUGCUACAAUCAUUAUGGCUGUGCUCAGGCCCCCAUUCCACAGGAAGAACCACUGGAAUUGUUUACUAUGGAGAAAAGGAGGCUGAAGGGAGACCUUAUUGCUCUCUUCCAGUACCUGAAAGGUGAUUGCAGUGGGAGCAGGGCUGGUCUCUUCUCACUGGUGACAGGACGAGGGGAAAUGGCCCCAAGUUGCACCAGGGGAGGUUUAGGUUGGAUAUCAGGAAAAACUUCUCUACUGAAAGGGCUGUUAAGCACAGGAAUAGGCUCCCCAGGGAGGUGGUUGAGUCACCAUCCCUGAAUGUGUUUAAAAACCAUCUGGAUGUGGUGCUCAGAGAUAUGAUUUAGUGGAGGGUUGUUAGAGUUAGGGUAGCAUGAUUAGGCUGUGGUUGGACUUGAUGAUCUUUAAGGUCUUUUCCAACCUGAGCAAUUCUACGGUUCUAUGAUUCUAUGAUUCCUGCUCUGGUCUUGGCCAGCACAGAUCACUAACUCCAACCCCUGGCACCUGCACCAUCCCACCAUUCCUUCUGCAGAUGUGAAAUUCAGCAUGAGCAAAACUCACCCAGGUCUAGGUCAUAACAAGCCCUAGGUUAGAAAAACGUGGUGUUGUCAAUUUUAGUUGGUGUUUUGACUAAAUAUGCAAGGAUUAAUGGUACAAGUGGUUAUUCCAGCAUAUCUGAGAGGCCGUAUCCUCUGGAAAGGUGAACAAACAGCAUGACAGUGGCGGUGGGCUGCCUGGCAUGGGGUGGGUUCUUGUUCAAAUAGCGUCCUCCUCUCACCAAGCAAUAUCUGCCCGUGGUCUAAUAUUGAGUUAAACUGUUCUUACCUUAAAUAAAUGAAAGAUGUCUUAGUGCUUCAUUAUUGCAUAU